AGUUUCAAAUCAAGCUUUCAUUACAGAAGAACAGUAUUUAGAACACCGAGUCAUAGUUGGUGUAGUUCUUUUUUGGGUGUGUUGGCAAAAUAGUCACUUUUUCAAACUUAAUUAGGAAAGUAGUGACUUUACUAUUCAUAAUUUGCAAAGUAGUCAUUUUUCACGGUUUGAUUCGUACACUUGGAUUGUACAUCACUUUUAGUGUGCAAAUGUAAAGUGUACGCUGUGUAUUUUUUAUAUACAUCUGUACACUAAAAAUAGUGUACAAACUAAGUGUACGAAUCAAACAGUGAAAAAUGACUAUUUUACAAAUUAUGAAUAGUAAAGUGACUACUUUUCCAAUUAAGUUUUAAAAAGUGACUAGUAUGCAACUUAACCCUUCUUUUUUAUAGUAGACUCAUCAAAUCAAAGAAACUUAAAAAAGAUUAAUGUUAGGCUUAA
rnacentral:sRNA from 1 species